GCAUAUCAAUAAGCGGAGGAAAAGAAACCAACAGGGAUUGCCUCAGUAACGGCGAGUGAAGCGGCAACAGCUCAAAUUUGAAAUCUGGCCCUAGGCCCGAGUUGUAAUUUGCAGAGGAUGUUUCUGGCGAGGUGCCUUCCGAGUUCCCUGGAACGGGACGCCAUAGAGGGUGAGAGCCCCGUACGGUUGGUCGCUAAGCCUCUGUGAAACUCCUUCGACGAGUCGAGUAGUUUGGGAAUGCUGCUCUAAAUGGGAGGUAUACGUCUUCUAAAGCUAAAUACCGGCCAGAGACCGAUAGCGCACAAGUAGAGUGAUCGAAAGAUGAAAAGCACUUUGAAAAGAGGGUUAAAUAGUACGUGAAAUUGUUGAAAGGGAAGCGCUUAUGACCAGACUUGGACCGGUUGAUCAUCCAUCGUUCUCGGUGGUGCACUCUGCCGGUUCAGGCCAGCAUCAGUUCGUCCCGGGGGAUAAAGGCUUUGGGAAUGUGGCUCUUCGGAGUGUUAUAGCCCACUGCGUAAUACCCUGGGAUGGACUGAGGUUCGCGCUCCGCAAGGAUGCUGGCGUAAUGGUCAUCAGUGACCCGUCUUGAAACACGGACCAAGGAGUCGUCUUCGUAUGCGAGUGUUCGGGUGUCAAACCCCUACGCGUAAUGAAAGUGAACGUAGGAGAGAGCUUCGGCGCAUCUCCGACCGAUCCUGAUGUUCUCGGAUGGAUUUGAGUAAGAGCAUACGGGGCCGGACCCGAAAGAAGGUGAACUAUGCUUGUAUAGGGUGAAGCCAGAGGAAACUCUGGUGGAGGCUCGCAGCGGUUCUGACGUGCAAAUCGAUCGUCAAAUAUGAGCAUGGGGGGCGAAAGACUAAUCGAACCUUCUAGUAGCUGGUUUCCGCCGAAGU
rnacentral:rRNA from 1 species